AACUCAAAUAUAGCACAAGGCUUGUGCCGAUCCUCGGGCCAAAUGCCACAUGCUCAAGAGGCUUAUUGUGUUUUUAUGGCCUUUGAUCUCCAUGUGUCACUUUCUUCAUUUGUCAAGCAGCAACAACUGUGCUCAGGAUAACAAACCAAGGGUCACGGAGGAAUUGUUGGAUUUAAUCCGACCAUGUAUUGGACAGAAGACGCAGUUCAUCUUAAAAUAUGGAAGUGGAAGAAGAAGAAAGAUGACCUGAGUGAAAAGGACUAUCUGCUAAUCCACAUCAUCUGAGGGAAACAUCACAGAAAUGUUAAACUGAGCUGCAGGUGAGGGCGCUCUCCCAGCCCCCUCACCUCCACCACAGAGGAUCAGUCAGCACAGGUGAGAGCUGGGAGACUGAAACACACAGGACACGGAGAGACUCUGGAAGAGACCGACGGAGCUGUAAAGCUAGUUGCCUUUAGUUGAAGUUUAUUUAUGUUUGUUCAUGUGUGUUGGUGAUUAAAUAAAAUAUGCUGAAGUCCGAA